UCGAUAGUUUUCCGAUAGUCGACUAUCGAUAGUACUGUCGAUAGUCGACUAUCAAAAACUAUCGAUAGUACUGUCGAUAGUCGACUAUCGGAAAACUAUCG
rnacentral:pre_miRNA from 1 species